UACAGCGGGUGCAGGCGUUAAUCGGAAUUACUGGGCGUAAAGCGUGCGUAGACGGUUGCGUAAGUCAGAUGUGAAAGCCCCGGGCUCAACCUGGGAAUUGCAUUUGAGACUGCGUAGCUAGGGUGCGGAAGAGGGAAGCGGAAUUUCCGGUGUAGCGGUGAAAUGCGUAGAUAUCGGAAGGAACACCAGUGGCGAAAGCGGCUUCCUGGUCCAGCACCGACGUUCAGGCACGAAAGCGUGGGGAGCAAACAGG
rnacentral:rRNA from 1 species